AUUGCGAUCCCUCCAGGAAUGAUCAGCGAC
rnacentral:other from 1 species